rnacentral:rRNA from 1 species
CCCUUAGAUGUUCUGGGCCGCACGCGCGCUACACUGAUGCAUUCAACGAGCCUAUCCUUGACCGACAGGUCCGGGUAAUCUUUGAAUCUGCAUCGUGACGGGGAUAGAUUAUUGCAAUUAUUAAUCUUCAACGAGGAAUGCCUAGUAGGCGCAAGUCAUCAGCUUGCGUCGAUUACGUCCCUGCCCUUUGUACACACCGCCCGUCGCUCCUACCGAUUGAAUGACUCGGUGAAAAAUUGGGACCGUGAGUCUGUUUGCUUCAUUGCGAGUGGAUUGAUGGGAACUUUUUUAAACCUCGCCAUUUAGAGGAAGGUGAAGUCGUAACA